rnacentral:rRNA from 1 species
GAGGGUGAGGCCUGCCCAAUGGUUGUAUCUAAAAGCGGUUGAUAAAAGUCGACCUCGUAAGGACAAUUGAAUGGCCGCGGUAACACUGACCGUGAUAAUGUAGCGUAAUCAAUAGCCAAUUAAUUGUUGGCCAGUAUGAAUGGCGCCACGAAGGCCCCACUGUCUUAAGGAAAUUCCCAGUGAAAUUGAAUUCGUAGUGAAGAUGCUACGUCCAAUUUGUUAGACGAAAAGACCCCGUUGAGCUUUACUGGGGCACUUACACGGCCCCGGCCUUCCAAACUAGGCUUACUAUGCCUAGAGGUCGGCCGAAUUUAAAUGGGUGGUUUAGAUUAUGUGGCAGCCCCCCGUCGGGGCAGAUGAAACCCCACUCCCCCAUGUCAAAGGGGCUAACCCCCCCCCUUGGGGGGGGACAGUGUAAGUAGGACAGUUUGGUUGGGGCGACCGCCUUUUAAAGAGUAACGAAGGUGCGCUUAAGGUGCGCAAAUAAUGACUGAAGCCUGACUGCGAGGGGGACACCCCGAGCAGACACCCCCAAGCCUGCCCUAAGGGCGGCGGUGGGGUGG